UACGGAGGGUGCAAGCGUUAUCCGGAUUCACUGGGUUUAAAGGGUGCGUAGGCGGGUUGGUAAGUCCGUGGUGAAAUCCUGCAGCUUAACUGCAGAACUGCCAUUGAUACUGUCGAUCUUGAGUACAUUUGAAGUGGGCGGAAUGUGUCAUGUAGCGGUGAAAUGCUUAGAUAUGACACAGAACACCGAUUGCGAAGGCAGCUCACUAAACUGUAACUGACGCUGAGGCACGAAAGCGUGGGGAUCAAACAGG
rnacentral:rRNA from 1 species